AGGAUGCAAAGAAUCUUUAGCCUGAACAAAGAAAUGAUGUGAACAAAUGAAUGUGGUUGAUGGAGUGAAGGAACACAGGGCCCCUGAAAAUGAAUAACCCUUACACUGGCACACCCAACACCUAGGCUAGCAAAUCAGUGCACACACGUAUUUAUUUUCUCUGUGGGUCUCUGUUCAGGUAAGUACUCUGAAUGAAGCUUUGGUCACAGGCUGUUUUGUGCAGUUACUGGUGCUUCCUUAUUUAGAACCAGCUACCCAUGGGUCCCCUCAAAGGCCAAAGCAGCCUAGGGAAUGCCUAAUAUCCAGAGGGUGGUAGGCUGUCUCUGCUUCUGUGAAACAGUUCAGUUCCUUCCUGUAAGUCAUCUGUUGUGAAGUUAAAUGCAAACAUUUGGAACUGGCUGAUGGGUCAAUUCAUUUUCCUCUCAAAGGUCUGGCGGUUUUUUUUUUCUUCUUCCUGUUCCCUGGAGUGUAGUAUACAUGUGCUAACUUUGGUAUGUCCUCAGCGUGACCUCCUGGUCGUUAUGUAAAAUACCCAUUGGUUCUGUAAACGGAAAAUAUGACUCAACCCACACUGGCGGCCCUUGAUUGGCUGCUGGAGUACUAAAACCCUGCACCUGUGCUGGUUACCGAAUAGCGUCAGCCUGCCAUUGCUUAACCCCCGGGUUGCCAAAUCUGUGCCCAUGACAUUGGCCUGUGCAAUGCGGAUUUCAAAAGCUGGUCAGAUACAAAGUCAUGCUUGAUGGCAAUUCAACUCUGCACUUUUCAGUGUGUUCUGGAGUUAAGGGGGGGAGGGGGAGUGGAGUUAGCCUUAGGUACGUCCUCUGGCCUCCACAGUUCUACAGGGCCAACACUGUGCCUCAUAUCUUUCCACAAGAGCUGUAGAUCCACCUCUCCUAAUUGGUCUCUCGUAUUCAGCUUCAAUCGCCUUGCCUGAAACCUCCACUACAAUCUCCUAUCUCAUUAUUCUCUUAUCAAGCUCAUCUUGCCCUUUAUGAAACCCAAAGGGCUCAGCCCAGAAAGGGCGAAGAAUGUGGUGACUCUACGGCCCACAAGGGGAAGCAGGGCCACAAACAUGCCGAGCUGUCAUUAGUCAGAAGGAAAGGAAGAGAUGACUUGGAAGGAGAGGAGACUGUGUGACAACACAGCCUUAAGCAACCAGCCUUACAGUUUUGUGACUCAGGUAGAAGCAGCCUGGGCCCAGGUUCCAUUCUCACACCAGGGGAUGGGCCCCUGGUCAAUGGUCUUUUCUUUUUCCCAUUUGUUUGCUUAUUCCCCCUCCUCAGCCCGGCCCAGCCGCCCCACCGCGGGUCCUCUAAAAAGCUGGCUGGCCUCUUUUAAGGGCCUUUUGUUCGGUCUGAUUACUCAUAUCCUAGGCUCAACUGGAAAUGGUGACACACGGGCUGUCACCAUCUGGAUUCAGCUAUUAUCUGCUCGGAGGAACUGGAAGGGGUUGCACAAUGGCCAGACCCACCCCACCUCUGAGGUGGUUGCUCAGGCAUCAACCGGAAAAAAGUCCCCUCCAGUUCUCUUCCACCAUCGACCCCCCUACCCCCUCCCACGAUAAAAGCGUCUCUCCACAUUGUUUUCACUUGUGGUAAAAGUAAGUAAUAAAUACAUAAGUCCACCGCCCCCCCUUUCAAACUGGUCUUGAUCCCACAUUUGAAAUUUCGUUCAAGUGGACAGUAGGUGGCAGCAACAAGCUGGGGGGUGGGGGGGUCAGGUGAGUUGCAGGAAACCCAGGAGCAACUUAAAACUGGAGCGGGGUGAAAAAAGGCUCAGACCGUGGGGUUCCAGUGCGCCCUUGAGCCGACGGGGGGCGAGCGGCCGGCGUCCCCGCGUGCGGCGUGUGUCUCCCCCCCCGCCCCCCGCCCCCCCAGUUUCUGGUCCUUCCUCCUCCCGGGUGGGAGCCCUUAUGGGUAGGUACGGUCCAUGAAAAUCGCCGGCUGGAAAAAUAAAGUGAAUGGAAAGCGUGCGCUCCGAGCUCGGGGGAGCUUUCCAACACUUCUGCCCCGGCCCGAAGU